UUUUUAUCCCAAAAUAACAAGUCAUAACAAACUUUGCCUCAUUCUAACAUUCCAACAUCCCACCUAAUAAAAAAUGGACACCUAACCCCUACCCCUCCAAUUAAAAAAAAAAACAACACCUCACCACUCACCAAACUACCUCACCACCACCACCUCCAUGUGACCCCCUACCUUUUUUUGUUUACACAUUUUCUUGCCUUCUCCAUUUAUAGAAAAAGACAAUACACAAAAGAGGAGGAUUCAUUGGGGUCCACAGAAUGACAAAAAAACAUAAAACACAAAAUAGCACCAUCACCUCACAAUUUCAUAGGCACACAAUCAUCUUCUUCACGAUAUAUUCACUCACAUUAACUAAUAAGAAGGAGAAGGAGAUACUCACCCUUAACAAAACCUCAUACCCUCUUUAUUUUCUCCAUUGAUUACACAGAAAGAACACUACACACAGAAAAUGAGGUAGAUCGAGAAAGAGUAGCAGAGAGGAGAGACGCAAAAAAGAGAGGAAAAGAGAUCUGGGUUUCUGUCUUUUUCACCUUCAUCCAUGCCUACAUAUGAAAAACACACGCACAUGAUGAAAACAGUGAAAACAACAAAAAAAUGAGCAAAAAUAGCGUGAGAAUCGAAGGAGAAAACAGAAUUCAGGUUUCUAGUUAGUGUUCCGGUGACCCCUUUGCCGGAACUCAUCAUUCUCUUUCGAUUUCUGGGUGAAUCUGGUCAGGAAACGAUAAUCUCAAUGGAAUUUAUCUUGAUUCAUCGUUACUGCCGUUGUCUGGGCGAACCGGAGCUCAGGCUAUACUGAUUUUGACUUUUUGUUGCAUUGUUGGGGUGUUGGGGUUCAUCUGUUUUUGUGUUUCAUCGUCAAAACCAGGUUUCCAUCUUGUCGAAUUUCUUAGAUUUGGUUUUAAUUUUAUUCUUGGGUUUUUGAGAUUCGAACUUCAUCUUUCUAUUCGGGGAUUUUCUAUUGUCGUUCGAAGUUGUUGAUUCGAAUGUUUAUAAUUGAGUUUGGUUUCCCGAAUUAAAUUUAUUCGGAUUGGUAUUGGCGAUAUCGAGUUGGAUCUUUGUCAUUUUUGAAGCUAGAAGUUGAGGUUCUCGGGCGUGGUUCUAUCUCCGAUGUAUUGAAAGCGACACUUGAGGGAAUGUCCCAACGUAUCAUGUACUCGGAGGAUGCCUGUGAUGAAGGCCCGAAGCAUCGGGUAUGGCAUUGGAGUGUAGUUUAGGAUUAGUGUAGGUUAGCGUAGGUUUACUUUUCAGUACCUUUUUCAUUUCGGGUUGUAAUAAUUGGAAUGAACACUAUAUUUUUGGACUAGUUUUGUUUGUUUGAUCGAUCA